rnacentral:piRNA from 1 species
UCAGUUUUCCUUUUUUUUACA